rnacentral:tRNA from 1 species
GGUUCUAUAGUGCAGUGGUUAUCACAUCUGCUUUACACGCAGAAGGACCCCGGGCGGAACCA